CUUGGAAUGGGCAAAGUCUCAAGAGUAUUUGAAACACUCCCAAGCGUCAAAGAAAGACUCGUCAUCUUUCUGCUUAAAGUUAUUGAUCUUGCCUCUCACUUG